rnacentral:rRNA from 1 species
UGGGCCCGGUGAAUCAUCCAGCGUUCUCGCUGGUGCACUUUGCCGGGACAGGCCAGCAUCAGUUUGGCGCGGGGACAAAGGCUUCGGGAAUGUGGCUCCCCUCGGGGAGUGUUAUAGCCCGUUGCGCAAUACCCUGCGCCGGACUGAGGUACGCGCUCCGCAAGGAUGCUGGCGUAAUGGUCAUCAGCG